rnacentral:lncRNA from 1 species
CGCAGACAUAACUUCAUGCAGCAACGACCCUUCCUUUCCCCUUAAUUAACCCCUCCUUCCUUCCCAAAGUGCUGGAUUUACCCCACCAGUUAUGUGGGCAGGUGUCUGGGGAUAUAGUCCAUUUCAAUCCUGGAGACACAGUGAACCCAUCCAGAUAAAAAUGUCUGAAGAGUAGCUGAUGGCAGUGGAGUGAGGGAGGAGCAGGAAGGCAUGGUGUCUGCAGCAUUUCCCUUAGUCGGGGGAAAUAAAACCCCCCUCUGCCAGUGUUCCAUUUCCUUGCAACCUCCCGCAGGCUGUUUCAUCUCAUAUUGUGUGAGCUCUGAGGGGGUGUCCAAUUUGAGGAACAAUAACUAUAAAGUCAUUUUCAGUGCCCUGCUGUGGCACAGUGUCUGACUGACCUGGCUAAACACUACGCUAGCUCUGCAGAGCUGCCGCUCACUGUGGGCCUUGCAUAUAGCCAUCCCCCCAGUCCCCCAAGUCCCCCCAGUCCCCAAUCCCAUGUCACUGGGGCCCAGACUCAAGUCCCUCAGAACCUUUAGUUGUGACUUGAGAAUUUCAUAGGAAGACCAGGGUGGGCUCACCCUGCACAAGUUACUAAGAGGGCCAGGCAGCGGGUGGUGGGACAAUCUGGGGUGGAUGGGAGAAGGUACUUAGAGAAGCCCCUUCUCAUAGCUUGAGUCUGGAGGCUGACUGUCCUACAGAAACCGAUGACUUUUUGCUAGGAACUUCAGGGUGGCAUUUAAAAACUCUGGAAAUUGGAAUCCCUUUUAAAAAGUCAUGCUGAAUAGUGUCACCUUCACAGAUCAAUUGGCCCAUCAGCUGGUCUUAAGAUAAAAUCGCCCCUCCCCGGGACAGAGUUCCUAGGAGGGUCUCUGCUCUUUGAAAGGACCACUCAGCCUUCCUUGGUCACUAUUCUCAUAAAGAAAUAUAUCUGUUUCAUCUUAUACUUUUCAAAGCACUCUCACAUCCAUUAGCCCAUUAAUUGAUUAAUUCAUUGUACACGUUUGUUGAACACACGAGGCACUUCAAAUCUUUUUAGAACAAGGCAGGAUCUAGAUAAAUAUAUGCAUACAUAUUGAAUAUCCACAAAGUGAAAUUUGCUCUGAUGGGCACUGCAGGGAGUGAGGAGGGUUUUAUAGAGAUAAAGGAAGCAUAGCCUACCAAGAGAGUCCCCUCUUCAGAUCUGUAAGUCAGAGGCACAUCUACUAUGCUGAUUUCCCAGCCGUGUAAACCAAGGGCCAGAGAGGUUAAAGGACUGCUUAUGGUCUCAAAAUGAGAGGUGGAUCUAGAAUGCACCUCCUGAUUCAAAUUGGAUAUGCUGUUUAUGCUUUCUCUCUUUUUUGCUUUCCAGAAAGUUCCAAGUUCUGAUCUCCCCUUCCCUACCUCUUUUCUUGACGUCUCUGGAACAAGCUAUCUGAAAGGAGAAAUAGUCACAUCACAAUUUUUUUUUUCUGGGCUCAUGUGAAUAUUGUUUCAGGGACAAGAAGAAAAAAAAAUUUGUCUUCUCUAUUUCCUUAAGAAGGUCAGCAAGAUGGAACAGUUGCAUUUCAUAUGCAGCCUCUCGAAGGACAUUCAUUUUCUCCAGCAGAGCCCCAGGGUGGACAAGGAGGGCCAGCUGUGUGCAGCGUCUGUUGUGUACAGCAUUCAGGACAAUGUCCUCUUGGAUCCCGAGCUCUCCACACAGACAGAGCAGAUAAAGGAAGGUCCCUCUCCUGGUCUUCCUUCCAGGGAGGCUGUUGCUGAGAGAGGUUAAGGGACCUCCCAGAGUCCUCCUCAGGUGGGAGCGGAAGGUUGGCAUUGCUGACCUCCCAUAAGCUUUUACCUGAACUUGGGCUCUGCCUGUCUUUGUUCUGAGGAAUGAGACUGCAAAGAAGCUCCCGAUCUGAAAAGGUGGCAUUUGCUAAGUUAGAAAAUGGAAGUACCACCCAGUCUGGGGGAUCCCAUAGGCACCCAAGAGUGCACCAAGCCACUAGGACCAAGCUCACCUGAGAGUCCCACCCUGCUCGGAAUAUGCAGACUUGGUGUCCUGUCGCUUUAAAGCACUCCAUGCCUGGAAAUGCCACGGCCCACAUGGAAUGGGCACAGCCAACAACUCUCCAAGGAGCCCCAGCAAUGAAUGAUGAGCAUCUCCCCUGAACCCAUCUCCCCAUGUCCGGUGUUUAAAGUGAAUUGAAAUGAAUAUCUGAUAAAUGAAUAAACCUGUAAAUGGAAUCAAAAACCUUAUGAACUUGAAGGAGAAAUAGGAGUCCCAGGUCUGUUAAGUCUAAAUUGAAUAAAUCUGAUCAACUGCCUGACAAUUUCUGCCAACAGCUUUUGAAGAGGAAGAAAAGGGGUGAGCAGAGAAAUUGGGUAGAGGAGAGGGAAGAGCGAGUGGGGUAGGGGAGGCAGGCAUGACUCAGUAAUGAAGCUAUCACCAGGAGUCCCCAGUGUUCCUUACCUGGACUAAUAAAUGGAUGACAAUAGGAGUUCCUUGCAAGUCUGUCUGCUCCUGUGUGUCUGCCCAGAGGACACCUCUAGAGAAUGAGAGAUUUGCAUAAAAUGGGGCCAAAGUCUCCUUUUGGGCCUUGCUGGACAAGGAGCUGAGGAAGAACUCUGGAGUCCUGGAAUCAGCUACUGGGCCUAGAUGAUCUCACCUGCUAGGAUGGGUCUGUAUGUUUGGGUAGCUUGAGCUGGAGGCAGGGAGGUCACAUUGAGGAUGCGCUCAAUGGCUCUCGAUUUGGCCUCUGCCACUCUUUGUUCUGUUGGGUAACUUACUUCCUGCAGUGGUUUUAAACAUGGCCACAGACUUCUUUAACACUCAUCUUAGUGAGAGGUGGUGGUGGUGGAUCUGUGUCUUCUUCUCUUGAAUCUAGGUGGCUUUGUGACUCCACUAAUACAGAACAGUGGCAUUGAUGCUGUCUGACUUUCCAGGCUGGGCUGGAAAAGGUUGUGCAACUUCUGCCUGAGUUUCUUGGGACACUGUCAUUGGGGGAAAACAGCCCCUAUGUAGGAAAUCCAAUUGCCCUGAGAGUGCCAUGCUGGAGAGGUGUUCCUGUUCAAGGCCAUGCCCCACUGAGCUCCCGGCCAGUGGCCAGGCUGGCCGUGGGGAAUGAACCCCGUGAGCCACUCAGUCUCGCCCAGCCUUCAGAUGACUGCAGUUCCAGCCCAUGUGUGACUGCAGCAGCUAAGUCACAGCUGCCUCGUCAAACUCUCCCCAAAUUUUUGACCUGCAAAAGUACAAACGCUAUAAAAUUAUUGUUUUAAGCUACUAAUUCAGGAGUAAUUUGUUAAUAGCAACCAAAACACACCCCUUCUUGGGUUUCAAUUUUUUUUCUGAACCAUGAAGGGUUAGACUAGAUAAUUUUUAAAACCAUACUUUGAAAGUUUUAAAUAGUAGAUGAACUUUUUUCAAUUGUUUUUAUUGUAGUAAAAUAUACAUAAAAUUUACCAUCUUAAACAUUUUUAAGUGUACGGUUCAGUGGUAUUAAAUAUAUUCACAAUGUUGUGUAACCAUCAUCACCAUCCAUCUCCGUAACUCAUUUCGUCCUGCAAAACUGAAACUCUGUACACAUUAAACAAUAACUCCGUCUUCCCCUUUCUCCUCCAGCCCCUGACAUCCACCAUUCUACUUUCUGCCUCUAUGAUUUAGACUACUCUAGGUAUCUCACAUAAGUGGAAUCAUACAAUGUUUGCCUUUUGGGCCUGGUUUAUUUCACUCAGCAUAAUGUUUUCAUGGUUCAUCCAGGUUGUAGUAUGUACCAGGAUUUCUUUCCUUUUUAAGACUGGAUAAUAUUUCAUUGUAUGUAUAUACAACAUUUUGCUUAUCCAUUCAUUUGUUGAUAGACACUUUUGUUUUUGCCAUGUUUUAGCUAUUGUGCAUUAAUGCUGGUGUGAACAGGAGUGUACAAAUGGAAAGAACCUGCUUCCAAUUAUGUCAAAUAGAUACCCAGAAGUGGAAUUGCUGAUUUACAUGGUAAUUUUAUUUUUAAUUUUUUGAGAAACCACCACACCGUUUUUCACAGUGGCUGUCCCAUUUUUGCAUUCCUGCCACCAGUGUACAAGGAUUCCAGUUCCCCACACCCUCAUCAACACUUGUUAUAUAUAUAUUUUUACAAUAGCCAUGAUAAUGGAUAUGAAGAGGUGUCCCAUUGUUGCUUUGAUUCACAUUUCUCUAAUGAUUAGUGAUGCUGGACAUCUUUUCAAAGCAUGUUUUUUUUAAAAAAGGAGUUCAAACAUCAUAAAAGGAUAACAGAAAUUAAACAGUUUUCUUCCCUACUCCUGAGUUCUUCUCACCACUGAGAGGUAACUAACUUUAACAUAUGACUGAUUCUUCCAGAAAUGCUUGUUGUGAUUACAACAUAAUUAUAUCUUUAUAAAAUUACACAUAGAAUUAUAUCAUAGUUAAUUUUUGUAAUUUCCUUUUUUUCCACUUACUGAUACAGAUUGGAGAUAUUUCCAUACCAGUAUACAUAGGUCUACUUCAUUCUUAAUAUCUGCAUAAUUCCAUGGCAUGGCUUGGUCAACGUUUACUUCUCUAGUCACUGUUGAUGGGUAUUUCAGUUGCUUCUAGGUUGUUUGGUUGGUAUUUUUUGCUACUGUAAUAAUACUGCAUUGACUAUUAUUGUAUACUUGUUUAUGCUUUUGUAGGUCAAAUUCCUAGAAGUACAGUUUCUGGGUCAAAGGAUAUGCAUUGACAAUUUUGAUAAUUAUUGCCAAAUUUGUCUUUUAAAGAGGUGGCACAUAUUUAUACCACCACAAUGAGGAAGCUAGUAUCCUGCUACCUUUAUUAUCUUUCAGGUUUUGUCAUCUGCUGGAAGAAAAUAAUAUUCUGUUUUCAAGUUUUCAUUUCUUUAAUUGUGAAGUUGAGCAUUUUUAUAUGCACUUUGAUGAUUUUUUAUACAAAAUUUCAAUCAUGCAAAAGUAGAGAGACUAUAUCAUGAACUCCCAUAAGUAGAUCACCCCAAGUCAACUGUCAUUAUGGGUUUACCACUUGUUUCAAGAUUGAUGAUUUUUAAUUUCUAUUUUUCAUUGAAUAGCUAAUUUAUAUCCUUUGCCAAUUCUAUAGGGCUGUUCAUAUUUUGUUUUUUUUUAAAUGGUUUGUCGGAGCUUUUCUUAUCAUAACAAAUUAACUUUUUGCCAUUAUAUGUUACAAAUAUUUUUCCUAUUAAACUUGUGUUUUGAUAUUAUUAAAGGUCUUUUUGUACAGAAGCAAUUUUACUUUUUAUAUCAAAUUUAUCAAUCUUUUAAAAAGAUUUGUAGUUUUGUGUUUUCAAUGAUCUUCUCUACUCCAGGAAUAUAAAAUAAAAUAAUAAAAUAAA